UUACACAUGCAAGUCGAACGNUGAACCUCACUUGUGGGGGGAUUAGUGGCGAACGGGUGAGUAACACGUGAGUAACCUGCCCUUAACUCUGGGAUAAGCCUGGGAAACUGGGUCUAAUACCGGAUAUGACUCCUCAUCGCAUGGUGGGGGGUGGAAAGCUUUAUUGUGGUUUUGGAUGGACUCGCGGCCUAUCAGCUUGUUGGUGAGGUAAUGGCUCACCAAGGCGACGACGGGUAGCCGGCCUGAGAGGGUGACCGGCCACACUGGGACUGAGACACGGCCCAGACUCCUACGGGAGGCAGCAGUGGGGAAUAUUGCACAAUGGGCGAAAGCCUGAUGCAGCGACGCCGCGUGAGGGAUGACGGCCUUCGGGUUGUAAACCUUUUUCAGUAGGGAAGAAGCGAAAGUGACGGUACCUGCAGAAGAAGCGCCGGCUAACUACGUGCCAGCAGCCGCGGUAAUACGUAGGGCGCAAGCGUUAUCCGGAAUUAUUGGGCGUAAAGAGCUCGUAGGCGGUUUGUCGCGUCUGCCGUGAAAGUCCGGGGCUCAACUCCGGAUCUGCGGUGGGUACGGGCAGACUAGAGUGAUGUAGGGGAGACUGGAAUUCNCUGGUGUAGCGGUGAAAUGCGCAGAUAUCAGGAGGAACNNNNNUGGCGAAGGCAGGUCUCUGGGCAUUAACUGACGCUGAGGAGCGAAAGCAUGGGGAGCGAACAGGAUUAG
rnacentral:rRNA from 1 species